rnacentral:rRNA from 1 species
AAGGAUCAUUAAUGAAUUUUGAAAGGGGUUGUAGCUGGCCGUCUCUUUGGGGCGGCAUGUGCACGCCCUGAUCACUAUCCAUCUCACACACCUGUGCACACACUGUAGGUUGGCUUGUGAUCGGAGYUACGGUCUUCAUUGACUUUGCUCUGGUUGGAGGCCCUCCUAUGUAUYAUCACAAACUACUUCAGUUUAAAGAAUGUACUCUUGCGUCUAACGCAUUUAAAUACAACUUUCAGCAACGGAUCUCUUGGCUCUCGCAUCGAUGAAGAACGCAGCGAAAUGCGAUAAGUAAUGUGAAUUGCAGAAUUCAGUGAAUCAUCGAAUCUUUGAACGCACCUUGCGCUCCUUGGUAUUCCGAGGAGCAUGCCUGUUUGAGUGUCAUGGAAYUCUCAACUCUAUUUGCUUUUGUGAAUAGAGCUUGGAUUUGGAGGUUUAUUGCUGGUACUUGUGAUCGGCUCCUCUUGAAUGCAUUAGCUCGAACCUUUGCGGAUCAGCUAUCGGUGUGAUAAUUGUCUACGCCGUUGCAGUGAAGCAUAUCAAUGGGCUCGGCUUCCAAUCGUCCUUUACUGGACAAUGACUUUGACCUUUGACCUCAAAUCAGGUAGGAUUACCCGCUGAACUUAA